GACGAACCGUGCGAACGUUGUUCGGAAUCACUGGGCUUAAAGGGCGCGUAGGCGGGCGGGCAAGUCAGGGGUGAAAUCCCACGGCUCAACCGUGGAAGUGCCUUUGAUACUGCCGGUCUGGAGGGAGGUAGGGGCGUGCGGAACUUCCGGUGGAGCGGUGAAAUGCGUAGAUAUCGGAAGGAACACCGGUGGCGAAAGCGGCGCGCUGGACCUCUACUGACGCUGAGACGCGAAAGCGUGGGGAGCAAACAGG
rnacentral:rRNA from 1 species